UACGUAGGGGGCAAGCGUUGUCCGGAUUUAUUGGGCGUAAAGAGCGUGUAGGCGGCCAGACAGGUCAGCUGUGAAAACUCGAGGCUCAACCUCGAGACGUCGGUUGAAACCGUCUGGCUAGAGUCCGGAAGAGGAGAGUGGAAUUCCCGGUGUAGCGGUGAAAUGCGCAGAUAUCGGGAAGAACACCCGUGGCGAAGGCGGCUCUCUGGGACGGUACUGACGCUGGGAUGCGAAAGCGUGGGGAGCGAACAGG
rnacentral:rRNA from 1 species